UAUAUACCCCUAUUGCAAAUUCAGAAUCAUUCUUUUGACAGGGGAGAACGGCCAGACCUAAUUUUGCUCUCUAGAGAGGAUCUCUUGGAUGCUUAGGCUUCUUUUCAUCUUUUCUAGGGUUUGCUCUUCCAUUUUUCUUCCAUUUUUCAUCUAGUUUCACCAUGUCUAUGGUGAACUAAACCCUAUUGUUGUUGGGGAAAACAAUGUAAUCUUUUGAUACUCUCUCUUAUUGAAAUUAUUGAUUAUUUAUAUGGUUUCCAUAUGUUUCGAUUGAUUAUUGUUGGGUUAUCAUCUAUGCUUAAGGCCUUUAUCGUUUAACUCAUUCGGUAUAUUGAUGUUUGUCUUUAUUGAUAUAGGGACGUACAGUAAUGACAUGAACUGGUGAGUAAUCUCUUGAUUUUGCAAUACCACCUAGGGAUAGGGGUAGGACGAUUAAUUGCGCUAACUUCUGUUUAUAAUGCGGUAUUAAUUACUAGGGGAGGCUAGGGAUAGCAAGCCAGUAGUUAAUAUUAGGCCCUUUUCACCGAGGGAUCGGGUUGAGGGGAGGCUAAGAAAGUCGCAUAACAAUUGAAUCAAUCAACUAAUAUUCAAGGGUAGUAUGUGAGAGAGAGUGGAAUAGAUGAAAUUGUUAGUACCCAACAACAUCCAUUCAUCCAUUGUUUUCGUUUGUCAAUUGAAUCAACUUUAUUUUUGCAUGUUAAUAUUUUUGUUCUCAAAUCCAGUUUAUUAAUUUUUAUUUCUCAAGUCUUAUUAUUUUAAUUCACGCGAAUGAGGAAGCCAUACGAGUCUCUUGGGAAAACGAUAUUUGGUCUUACCAUUUAUAUUACUUGU
rnacentral:lncRNA from 1 species